rnacentral:rRNA from 1 species
GACGAACGCUGGCGGCGUGCUUAACACAUGCAAGUCGAACGAAGUGGCGAACGGGUGAGUAACGCGUCAUCAACCCGCCCUUCAGAGGGGGACAACAGUUGGAAACGACUGCUAAUACCGCAUACGGAAGGAGGGGAUGGAGGCUGAGUAGCUAGUUGGAGGGGUAACGGCCUACAAAGGCGGUGAUCAGUAGCCUGUCUGAUAGGACUGACGGCCACUUGUGGACUUAUACACGGCCCAGACUCUUACGGAAGGCAGCAGGUGGGAAUCUUCCGCAAUGGAGGAAAGUCUUACGAAACAACGCCGCGUGAGUGAUGACGGCCUUCGGGUUUUAAAGCGAUGUUAAUCGGGACGCGGUACCUGAAUAGAAAGCCACGGCUAACUACGUGCCAGCCGCCGCGGUAAUUC